CGGGCCCUGCCCAAGAAAACGCCUUCUCCGCCCGAGCCCCGGCGUUCUCACACUCUCCCCUCAACCCGGUGGCGCCUCCGCCGCCCCGCCGUAACGAGGAGAGCCGGGCCCAAGAUGGCGGCUGCCGUUCGCCAGGGAGCAGGCGUGCGCAGUGCGCAUGCGUCGCGCGGCGAGCGCUGUCGCCUGAGAGUGAGACGCGGAGCCGUGGGCAUGGCUGCUGGCGCGCUGGGGUUCGCGGUGCUGCUGGCGGGGCUCGGCGCGGCGCGGGGACAGGACUCCUGCGGACCUCCAGACAGAGUGCAGAAUGCGGAGCUCACGGAGAGCUUCAGCGUGAUGAGCAGCUUCCCCGUUGGAACCACCGUGACCUACACCUGUCUCCCCGGCUAUAAGAGGAUCCCUGGGAUGCCCGCUGCUCGAACGUGUGGUGGAGACUUAACAUGGUCAUCGGUAGAUCCAUUCUGUACAGCGAGAACAUGUAAUCAUCCAGGAGAUAUAGAAAAUGGCUUUGUUCAUGUGACAGAUCUUACAUUUGGUUCAUCAGCUAAUUUUUCUUGUGAAAUAGGGUACAGGUUAAUUGGAAGUAGUCAAAUUUCCUGUGUAAUUAAAGGUAAAGGUGUUGACUGGAAUGAAGAACCUCCUAUAUGUUACAAAAUUUCUUGUGAACCGCCUCCAAGUAUAGCCAAUGGGCACUACAGUGAAGAACAGGACUAUGUUUAUCAAACAGCAGUAAGAUACACUUGUGAUGAUGUACCGUACGGCAAAGAUCCCUUCUCCCUGGUUGGUGAAGCUUCUAUUUUCUGCACGGCUGAUAAAGACUUAAAUGGUGUUUGGAGUGGACCACCUCCACAGUGUAAAGUGGUCACCUGUGAAAACCCUGAAGUAGAAAAUGGAAGAAAAUUAUUUGGAUCUGCAGCUCGUUAUAGCUAUCGGGAUUCGGUUACAUUUGUAUGUGAUCCAGGCUAUGACAUGUCUGGGGAGGAUGUAAUUACUUGUCAAGGGAAUAGCACCUGGUAUCCACCAAAACCAUCUUGUAUAAAAAGUGGUUCUGUACCUCCUGAUUCCUCUCCAGUCAUCAGCCAUGGUAGAAUAAUUGAAGGAAAAAAACCUGCAUAUUCUGUAGGGGAUUCUAUUACAAUUGAAUGUUACGUAGGCUACACGUUACAUGGAGCAGAUCGUAUUCAGUAUAUAGGAGAAGGCAGAUGGAGUCCUGAAGUGCCAACUUGCAAGUUAAGUGUGUAUAUUAUUGUCAUCAUCUGUGUGAUCAUGGCAAUUCUGAUGUUCCUGGCAGCCUUCUGGGUCUGUAAGAAAUUCAUUUCACAAGAAGGCUCAACCCCAUCGAGCAGAGGCAGCAACCAACAGCAAAAUCGGACUGCGUCACAGAUGUAACAUGACCAUCGGCAAAACGAGUGCAGAAAGAUAUCAUGGCUGUCUCAUCGUUCAGACAGCCUUCCUUCAGUGUCAGAGAAGAAUGAGCUGGGACCACCAUUGCUGCUGCUAUUCCAGUUGCUCCCCUGCUCUGCGGAACUGGCGCUGCAGGAGGCAAGGAUGCUCCAACCAGCGAGGGCUCAGUGAGUCAGGAGGGGCCGUGAUGACUGCAGCAGGAGCUGAACCACCCCCCGGAAUCCGGCAGGAAAGGAGGAGAGGCAAGGAAGGUGCCCCGAGCAGCUCGCAGUGCUGCUCACGCCUCGCCACCGCCUAAGGAAGAGGACGAGAAGGAAGGAAAGGAGGAAAUAAAAGCCCCGAAGCCAAGUGCUUUCCGUGGUGGAGCUUGGCAGCUCUGACACGUCAUCGUGACAGCGGCACAGCAAAGCGAAACCUUCCCGGCGCCGGCGCGGGGCAGGAAGGAGGCGGGGACCGAACCCGGGACUCGAACCCGGAGCGGCCCGCAGUCGGCGCCGCGGGUCCGGGCCGGGCCGGGAGCCCCCGGCACUUUGAGACGAGCGCAGCCAACAUUCGGAUUUGACACCAGGCCCUCGGCCAAUCCGAGUGGGCUUUUCACCUGCCAUCGCCUCCUCCGCCAAUCGGACGGCGUGUUUGGGCUGAGAGCCCUCCCCGGCCAAUCGGGAGCCGGCUGAGCCACUUAGUUAAUGAUGCAGCAGUACAGGGAAGACUAUCACAUGUGAGCUGGAAGGCUGCCAACAUGGAGACACGGAGAGAGCAAGCGUCUGAAGAGCCUGAGCUAUUUUGGGAUUUGUCUGUACUACACUGAAAAUGACACCUGUUACACACAGACAUAAAUGAGAAGAAUUGCAAGCUCCUGGUUUCUCAGAUACAAUUCUGCCCAAAGAAGAAAGACAGGAGCUAGGGAUGUGGGAGGGCAGUGCAGGCUCUCGGCGUGGGGUGAAGAGCUGACCCUUGUGAAUCGAGUAGUCAGACAGCAGUACAGGGAGUGCACAAGGCUCCUCGUAUCUGAUGCAGACCUCUCUGUGACCAAGAGAAGUAGUGCUUGAUCAACAAAAUGCUGCAGGAUGGGGUUUCUUACGCGACCAAACCCAUGGGACUUCAAGCCUUACAGAUCCGCUCUGUGGCCAAAGCUGCAAAUGUUAACUAUUUCAGUUAAUUGUAAGAGUGCUUCAGCUACUGAAAUGAGUCACUCGGCGGAGAUGCUCUAAAGUAGGCCAGCGUUUUGUGCGAGGUUGUGCAGUUGGUUGGUUUCCGUUACCCCUGAAUUAUCUCAGAAGCUCAACCAACACGCAGGGGCUGGGUGGAUUUCCACAUUCCCCGGUUGCCCCAUCUGCCUGCAGCCGAUCUGCAGUGCCCCGGGGAGGUGCCAGCAGCGUGCAGACAGCAGCCACCCCGCAGCCCCCAAGCACCGAGCGUGGCAGUGGGAUGAAGGAGAGAGCCUGGGAAGUGGGAUGGCUGAUGGGCACGCUUGGCUCCCAGCAACGGUGGUAUAUUAAGAAAGUAGAACGGAGCUGUGAUUUAUUUCAAAUUACACGCUUUUGGUUGCUUUCAAGGGAAAGGCAGCGUUUAUUUAAUGGGUUGCUGUUGUUUGAAAAUGACCAGCCGUGGGACAUUUCUACCUUUCCCUGAUCAUAAAGUAUUUACUUUAUGGCGGCACUUGAGCUCCCAAGAAGGAUCAAAGGCACUGUGCCGUGCGAAGCACUCAGGUUUAUUGCUCUCCAGAUGAUUUUCAUUAAUGAAUGUCAGAGGAAUGGCUCCUGGAGUGUUCGCAGUGAUUCCUGGCUGUGACUAGCUCAACCUCCAUCGCUGUGACACGCGUCAUUGCCAGCCCAGCGUGUGCACGCUGCGGUCCCAUCCAACCACAGAGCAGGUUUCCUGUUUCACAUGGGGACACCGAGGCCGUGAAUGGACGGAGGGCCGGGGUCGCAGCGCCGCGUGGUGCCCAGCUCCAGACCGACCCACUGCGCUCAGCCCCGACCCUGCAAGGAGCCUGAGAGCAGAGCUGACCAGCAGACCUCAGCGAGCCACCCGUACAGCAGGAGAGCACGACAGCCUGAAAGUUAGGACGUGUGCUUUGCAGUUACACAACAAGAACCAUUGGAAGACCACAAGUUUUCCCCAGACUGGAAGGUUUCCACCAAGUCAGGAAGAUGGUCGUGUUUGGGAUGGUCCAACGGAUCCUGUGCGUUGUGUCAGCUCUGUCGUCUGGGGAAGGUGGGCCAGCACCCUUUGAGCUGAAGCCAUCUGCUUUGCCUCCAGAGCACCAUCUCACAUCAGUGUUCAUAGAACUAUUGCUGAAAGCCAUUUCUGGACUCAGUGUCAGUCCUCUUGUUUUCUUCUAUAUGGUAGGUAGGGUCUUUGCAGCUUCUUAGGCUGUUGAGGACUAGAAGAUGCCCAUGGGCUGAGCUUGUCUUCAACAGUGACUCUGGGGGAGUAGGUGAUCUUUCUGUUUUCCAGCAGAAAUAGCAAACAUUCCUCUCUGAAGAUAUUGCUGAUAAAAAAAGAUUGGUUCUGGCACUGACCAGCUCUGCUCCGUGGGAUGGGCUUUUGGGUAUUUCCAGCAAACGUGGAUGCCAGCUCUCAGUUUAUGGACCUUGGUGCUAAACGCGUGAUGGGCAGGGAGCCAUAAUCUAGAAUUCUGGACUGACUUGGAGAGCUCCUUUGUAAGACUCAGAGCAUGAACGCAUCCAGAGGAGUUGGGAGGCUGAACCUUUGCACCUGGGGAUGGAUGGUGGCCUCCUCCAAACCAAGUGUGACACAAGGUGAGACCUCUCACCACGAGAUGAGACCCCACGACACGGGAUGCUGUGCUCCAUGCCACACUGGCUCUGGUUAACCUGCAGCCCUGUUUUCCACACGUAACCAUGGUAACCCGAAUGCUCUGGCAGAGGUGCACAUCAGCCCCAUUUGUCACAGCUGCACUUCCAAACCCACUGCAUCUGCAUCACCUGAGCCUGCACAGAGCAGGAGGGCGUCUUUGUGGCUUUGCCAUUCCCCAUGCAAUCCCAGCGCAGGCAGUGGGAGGUGGGGAGAAGGAAGAGGAAGAGGACGAAUGCCAGCGCAGUUCAUGCACAAUGCUGGCUCUCAGCAGUACGAUUAGUUACUUGGCAACAAGAGCAAGGUGUGUCAGAGUGGAUGGGACACAAACACCCGCACCAGCCCUGGCAACAGCGCCAGGAGAACUCGCAGCUAGUAAGGCUCGUCUGGUUUUGCUGUGGAGCACUUAAAUGAACGAAUUAAGUAACACCUGGAAGCAGCCUCCCACUGAGCGCAUUACACAACAACCUUGUUGCCCAUAUUUUCCAUGCAAUGCCAUUUGGUGGAACUGUGCAGAACGAAAGUUCCCUGUCCUGCCCUUCUCAUGCAGCCCGGGUAGGGCUGGAGCCGCACUGAGGGGACAGCACGAAUUUCUGCACUGAAACGGAGGCAUUUAAUGGUUGCUGCUGCUCAGGAGAUGCUGUGGAUCUGC